UUAAAAAAAUAAGUGGAAUCACUUUUUAUGUUCUCCCAUCUUCGAGUCAUCGUCGGCAUUUCUGGGGAGACAUUGAUUGACAUAUAGAAUCCCAUUGUUGUAUUUCGUUCAAUGGCAGCUUGAAUACAAUGUUGACACAGUAGGUACAUCCCAUACACUAAAACACUCCCCCACCCCAACACAAUGUUGACACAGUAGGUACAUCCCAUACACUAAAACACUCCCCCACCCCAACACAAUGUUGACACAGUAGGUACAUCCCAUACACUAAAACACUCCCCCACCCCAACACAAUGUUGACACAGUAGGUACAUCCCAUACACUAAAACACUCCCCCACCCCAACACAAUGUUGACACAGUAGGUACAUCCCAUACACUAAAACACUCCCCCACCCCAACACAAUGUUGACACAGUAGGUACAUCCCAUACACUAAAACACUCCCCCACCCCCCC